rnacentral:rRNA from 1 species
UACGGGGGGAGCAAGCGUUGUUCGGAUUUACUGGGCGUAAAGGGCGCGUAGGCGGCCACCGCAAGUCGGUUGUGAAAUCUCCGGGCUUAACCCGGAAAGGUCAAUCGAUACUGCGGGGCUAGAGUGCAGAAGGGGCAACUGGAAUUCUCGGUGUAGCGGUGAAAUGCGUAGAUAUCGAGAGGAACACCUGCGGCGAAGGCGGGUUGCUGGGCUGACACUGACGCUGAGGCGCGAAAGCUAGGGGAGCAAACAGG